rnacentral:rRNA from 1 species
GGAUUAGAUACCCUGGUAGUCCACGCUGUAAACGAUGGGUACUAGGAUUGGUGGGUCUUGACCCCUGCUGAUCCGGAGCUAACGCACUAAGUACCCCGCCUGGGAAGUACGGUCGCAAGACUAAAACUCAAAGGAAUUGACGGGGGCCCGCACAAGCGGUGGAUCAUGUGGUUUAAUUCGAAGCAACGCGAAGAACCUUACCUGGGUUUGACAUCUCCGGACCGACGUAGAGAUACGUUUUUUGUAGCAAUACAACCGGAAGACAGGUGCUGCAUGGCUGUCGUCAGCUCGUGCCG